rnacentral:rRNA from 1 species
AUUGAACGCUGGCGGCAUGCUUUACACAUGCAAGUCGAACGGUAACAGGCCGCAAGGUGCUGACGAGUGGCGAACGGGUGAGUAAUGCAUCGGAACGUGCCCAGUCGUGGGGGAUAACGCAGCGAAAGCUGCGCUAAUACCGCAUACGAUCCGUGGAUGAAAGCGGGGGACCUUCGGGCCCCGCGCGAUUGGAGCGGCCGAUGUCCGAUUAGGUAGUUGGUGGGGUAAAGGCUCACCAAGCCGACGAUCUGUAGCUGGUCUGAGAGGACGACCAGCCACACUGGGACUGAGACACGGCCCAGACUCCUACGGGAGGCAGCAGUGGGGAAUUUUGGACAAUGGGGGCAACCCUGAUCCAGCAAUGCCGCGUGCAGGAAGAAGGCCUUCGGGUUGUAAACUGCUUUUGUACGGAACGAAAAGGCUCUGGUUAAUACCUGGGGCACAUGACGGUACCGUAAGAAUAAGCACCGGCUAACUACGUGCCAGCCGCCGCGGUAAGAC